GCUCAUUAUAACAGCUAUAAUUUACUUGAUCUUGACACAAUCCUACUUGGAUAACUGUGGUAAUUCUAGAGCUAAUACAUGCAUUAAAGCUCUGACCUCACGGGAAGAGUGCAUUUAUUAGAACAAAACCAAGCGGCUUCGGCUGUUUCUGGUUGACUCAUAGUAACUGAGCUGAUCGCAUGGUCUUGCACCGGCGACGUGUCUUUCAAGUAUCUGCCGUAUCAACUUUCGAUGGUAGUGUAUCUGACUACCAUGGUGAUCACGCGUAACGGAGAAUAAGGGUUCGGCUCCGGAGAGUUCGCCUGAGAAAUCGCGAACACAUCUAAGGAAGGCAGCAGGCGCGAAAAUUACCCACUCUCAGCACGAGGAGGUAGUGACGAAAAAUAACGAGACCGUUCUCUUAUGAGGCCGGUCAUCGGAAUGGGUACAAUUUAAACCCUUUAACGAGUAUCUAUGAGAGGGCAAGUCUGGUGCCAGCAGCCGCGGUAAUUCCAGCUCUCAAAGUGCAUAGAAUUAUUGCUGCGGUUAAAAAGCUCGUAGUUGGAUCUGUGCCAUAGGACGUGGUCCACCUUCGGGUGCGUACUACGCUCCUAGGCUUUUUGCUGGUUUUCCCGUCGUAGCCUUCACUGGUUGCGGCGGGUGGCUGGCGAGUUUACUUUGAGAAAAUCAGAGUGCUCAAUACAGGCGUAUCGCUUGAAUGAUUGUGCAUGGAAUAAUAGAAAAGGAUUUCGGUCCUCUUUUAUUGGUUUUGUGGACUGAGAUAAUGGUUAACAGGGACAAACGGGGGCAUUCGUAUCUCUGCGUGAGAGGUGAAAUUCUUGGACCGUAGAGAGACGCCCUACUGCGAAAGCA
rnacentral:rRNA from 1 species